AUGAUGCCGGGGAGGCAAACACCUCGACAUGAGCGACGCCUGGGCUGUGCUCCAAGCCGUGAUACACGAACCGUGUGGCUCAUCCCACAGGUUAUUCCCCCAAAGGUGCCAGCUCCUGAAAGCCUGGGCUUUGCCCAAGGAGGUCACCACUGUGGGGCUUCUCCUGAGAUAUCUGGUCUCCUUCAAAGUGGCAUCCACAGGAGGGAAAUAAGCAGAAGUUACUCUAACUCCAGCUCAUAA
rnacentral:lncRNA from 1 species